rnacentral:rRNA from 1 species
AGAGUUUGAUUCUGGCUCAGGACGAACGCUGGCGGCGUGCUUAACACAUGCAAGUCGAACGGGGGUAGCAAUACCUAGUGGCGAACGGGUGAGUAACGCGUAGAUAACCUGCCUUUAAGUUGGGGACAACAACUCGAAAGGGUUGCUAAUACCGAAUGUUGUAGUUGUAUCGCAUGAUAAAACUACUAAAGAUUUAUCGCUUAAAGAGGGAUCUGCGUCCGAUUAGGUAGUAGGUAGGGUAACGGCUUACCUAGCCGACGAUCGGUAACCGGUCUGAGAGGAUGAACGGUCACAUUGGAACUGAGACACGGUCCAGACUCCUACGGGAGGCAGCAGGUGGGGAAUAUUCCACAAUGGGGGAAACCCUGAUGGAGCGACGCCGCCGUGAACGAAGAAGGGCUUCGGCUCGUAAAAUUCUUUUGCAGUUGACGAAUGUACUAUUGGAUAGUAAGAGACGGUAAACUGCGAAUAAGCCACGGCUAACUACGUGCCAGCCGCUGC